rnacentral:lncRNA from 1 species
GUGUCCUUGAUACAAAAUACAUACACAUAUAAAAAUAAUACUCCAUGCAUUCACCUCCAGGAAGGCCUUCUGCAUGGUGAGCUGGCUGUACACGCGGACGCCCUCCUCGCCGCACACUUUCUUCAGCUCCUCCUUGUUGAGGGAGAAGAGCUGCGGCCCGGUCAGGAUGCCCAGGUUCUCCACGAUCCUGGGGGGCUGAAGGCCUUGGCUUCCAGCCAGGCGCGGACCUCGUCCGGACCCGACUCGUAGGUGAGCGGCUGGCUCACGGGCUGGCUGCGCUCCACGCGGAAGUGCCUCUGUGGCUGCGCCCUGAUGUUGCUGAUUUUCCGGAUGAGCUCGUCGUUGACCUCGUCCAUGUGCUGCAUGAGCUCUGAGGGUAGGAUGUUGCAGGGCACGUACCCCGCCUGGCCGCUGCGGCUGCGCAGCUUCCACCACUGCCGGCCGUCCUCCAGCACCUGCCCCCUAGCCUGCUCCACUUUCUGUCCCCCAGUGGGUGGCCUGGAUUCACCUCUAGGACCUCAUCCUUGAGCACCGAUAGCUCGUUGGCAUUUCGGGCUGUGAAGUCAUACAGGAUCUUGACGUACUUGGCCAUGGCUGGUGUUGGCUGGUAGCCCCU